GUGCCAGCCGCCGCGGUAAUACGGAGGAUCCAAGCGUUAUCCGGAUUUAUUAGGUUUAAAGGGUGCGCAGGCGGCCCUAUAAGUCAGUGGUGAAAGUUUGCGGCUUAACCGUAAAAUUGCCAUUGAUACUGUAGGGCUUGAAUAUGGUAGAGGUAGGCGGAAUGUGUAGUGUAGCGGUGAAAUGCUUAGAUAUUACACAGAACACCGAUUGCGAAGGCAGCUUACUAUGCCAUGAUUGACGCUGAGGCACGAAAGCGUGGGUAGCGAACAGGAUUAGAUACCCCGGUAGUCC
rnacentral:rRNA from 1 species